AAUACUUGUUGCAGCCGCCUUGGUGUCCAUGCAGCUCUUUUGAUUUACUGUUGGUCUCUCUCUCUCUCUCUCUCUCUCUCUCUCUCUCUCUCUCUCUCCUGUCAUCUCUCCUCCAGAUCUCCCCCUGGUUUUGGGUGUGUGUGUCCCUGUGGUGGUGGUGGUGGUGGUGUUGGUGCUGCUGGCUGCUGUUCAGCUGCUCUUCUACAAAAAGAGGACUAAGCACUCUGAUGGUUCAAACAAGAGAGGAAACACAGACAUCACCAGGACUGAGAUUGACCUCUAUGAGAACUGUCCUCCACUCUCCACCUGUGCAGACUCCACCUACCAGAGUCUGGAUCCAGCCUCCAGGGAUCCAGACCACAUCUACUCUACUCUCUCUUAGAUACAACACCAAUGAUGAUGUCAGCAAGAUUUUUGACUGAAUGCACAGCAAAGCCUGGCUGCUGCUCAUGGCAGUUAAGGAUUUUAUUACCAAUGGUUUGACCACACUUGGUCUUUCUCAAGGCAAGAAACAAGACCUGAGAAUAAGUGUGGUUAAAAACGUUAGUAAUCAAAUCACUGGUGCUUCAUUUCAUUACAUUUCAUUUAUUUUUUAUUUCGAAAAAAAAAUGAAAUAAUAUAUAUAUAUAUAAAUAAAAUAUAACAAUACAAAAGUGCGUAGCAGCACACCAAAGGAAAAUGAACAAUAUCUAUAAAGUGUAAUUAUAAUAAUUAAUAAUAUUAAAAAUACUAUUACAAGUAAUAUUUUCAAAAAUGGUCCGAAAAGGUGUAGGAUGAAGCCUUAUUCAACUUUAACUCAUUCCUUUAUAUAUCAUAUAUUUUUACAACAGGAUAAUCAAUAUACACAUCAAUCCAUCUCAAAUUUUACAUGUACCAAACCCUUUUAUUUAUUUAUUUAUUUAUUUACGUUUCAAGUAAAUCAACAACCCAUUUCCGUGAUCCACCACCCCAUAACAAUCCGUGCACCUUCACAAUCAUCUCUCUUCCUCUUCAUAUCCUUUUAAUAAAGUGUUUUUAUAUAACUUUUUAAACUUUGUUAUGUUUGUACAAUGUU